CAGAAGACGCCGAGCCGGCCUCCUCUCAUCGUGGCGUCUAUGAUGACGCCGGUGUCUGCCACCAUCUGAGAGCCCUCAUAGAAACGGACUCUGCAGCAACAGCAGAGGGCAGCAAAAGCAAAGAAAACUUGAAGGUCUUUCUGUUUGUGUGUGAACCUGUGUGUUUGGGAUCCCAUCCCCAUCUGCGUCGUCAUCACAAGCGUCUCCAAUCCCAUCGUUGUCGGCGUCCUCCUGGCCGGAGUUUGGCACGGUCAGGUCAGGACAGUUCAGCUUCUCGUCAGGUAAACCAUCAAUGUCAGUGUCCGUUCCACACAGUGGCGUAAGCGAGUCCAACCCCCUGGACCUGAGGUCCGGUGUAUCCUGCAGGACAGGAACCGCAGCGGAAACCCGGGGACGUGUUGAUGCAGCGGACCCCCAUGUGGCACGGCAUCACCUUACACUGGAAACAGAUUAACAACUCAGGGAAGAAGAUAAGAUGAUGCUCCAAAAGUGAUUUUCCAGAUAUGGAGAAGAUGGAAGAUUUUCUGGAAGCUGCAUUUUCCAGCCAAACCGCUGGAAUGAAAAGCAGUGGGUGUCGGAAAGUGUCAACAAAUGUACUGAGGUAGAAAGACUCUGUUUUUCAUGAGUCCUGGUUUAUUCUAAAUUAAACUGCUAAAAAGAACACAUUAAA